rnacentral:rRNA from 1 species
GACGAACGCUGGCGGCGUGCUUAACACAUGCAAGUCGAGCGGUAAGGCCUUUUCGGGGGUACACGAGCGGCGAACGGGUGAGUAACACGUGGGUGACCUGCCUUCAGCUCUGGGAUAAGCCUGGGAAACUGGGUCUAAUACCGGAUAUGACUCCAUGAUGCAUGUUGUGGGGUGGAAAGCUUUUGCGGCUGGAGAUGGGCCCGCGGCCUAUCAGCUUGUUGGUGGGGUGAUGGCCUACCAAGGCGACGACGGGUAGCCGGCCUGAGAGGGCGACCGGCCACACUGGGACUGAGACACGGCCCAGACUCCUACGGGAGGCAGCAGUGGGGAAUCUUGCGCAAUGGGCGAAAGCCUGACGCAGCGACGCCGCGUGAGGGAUGACGGCCU